AGAGUUUGAUUAUGGCUCAGGAUGAACGCUAGCGACAGGCUUAACACAUGCAAGUCGAGGGGCAGCGGGGCGGCAGGCUUGCCUGCCGUUGCCGGCGACCGGCGCACGGGUGAGUAACACGUAUGCAACCUGCCCGUGGCAGGGGGAUAAGCGGGGGAAACCCCGUCUAAUACCGCGUAACGCGGCCUAGGGACAUCCCAAGGCCGCCAAAGGGAGCAAUCCCGGCCACGGAUGGGCAUGCGGCGCAUUAGCUAGUCGGCGGGGUAACGGCCCACCGAGGCGACGAUGCGUAGGGGUUCUGAGAGGAAGGCCCCCCACACUGGUACUGAGACACGGACCAGACUCCUACGGGAGGCAGCAGUGAGGAAUAUUGGUCAAUGGGCGCGAGCCUGAACCAGCCAAGUCGCGUGAGGGAGGACGGCCCUACGGGUUGUAAACCUCUUUUGCCGGGGAGCAACGGGCGCCACGUGUGGCGCCACUGAGAGUACCCGGAGAAAAACAUCGGCUAACUCCGUGC
rnacentral:rRNA from 1 species